UACAGAGGGUGCAAGCGUUGUUCGGAAUUAUUGGGCGUAAAGCGCGCGUAGGCGGCUACCUAAGUCGGAUGUGAAAGCCCCUGGCUUAACCGGGGAAGUGCACCCGAAACUGGGUAGCUAGAGUGCAAAAGAGGGUCGCGGAAUUCCCAGUGUAGAGGUGAAAUUCGUAGAUAUUGGGAGGAACACCGGUGGCGAAGGCGGCGACCUGGGUUGACACUGACGCUGAGGCGCGAAAGCGUGGGGAGCAAACAGG
rnacentral:rRNA from 1 species